GUUAAUGCCUCCAGACUUCGAUAGGAGCAAAGGCCACAAAACACACCAGCAGUCUUCUGUCUUUUUAAGAGGCAAAGGGACGCGUGAAGCAGCUAACCAAUCCCGCAAGAGUGUGGUAACUUAUUCAGCAAAAAUGAAGCGUCCCAAUGGAGAUCCCAUGAAUAGAUUACAGGAAAUGUAACUGUGGAGGUCAGUGUUUCUUUCCGUGGCUGUUUUCUCAAGCUUUGACCUUGGGUUUGGACAAUUAGUCUAUGCCAUUCAACGGGGAAAGACCUGCGCUUCCAAUCAACAUGUGAGCUUUUUGUUUUCCCAGAACUCAGUCAGAGACUUUAGGGUCUCAGGUCAAAAGAACUGUCCGCCCGUAUCAUUCUGUCUUUUGCCCAUGUCAGCUGAUGGAGCCACUGAUAUUUUCUAAAGUCUGGAAGAAACUGAAGGCUUACAGAUAGUCUGUCUGGCCCAGGGCAGGGCGCCCACAUGGGUUCUGAGGUUCAAGUUAUUUAAGUAAAAAAAUGAGCAGUCACAGAUCAUUUACUACAGACCCUGAAGUCCAGCCGAGCACCAAUCCAAAGUUCUGUCCUCACUUCCAGCAUUAGUGAAUGUUCACUGAGCCCCGCUUGGACUCUAGGAAACAGAUGCUGCUUUUGUCAAGCACAAGAAAAACCAUUGACUGACAUUUGUUGAUAUUAAUCUUAUUAAUCAUGAAUGAAGAAAUGAAUAAAAGUUCUCUUGGGAGUCUAAAA
ensembl:processed_transcript